UUACACAGUGUGAGGACAACCAUGUUACGGAUAGUCGGCUUAGUUUUCGCUUGCGUCGUCGUCAUUUCUUAUACAGCUUUCGCAGUAGAUAAGUUUAUUGUCGAUUCAAUACUGUCAUAGGUGCGUAAUGAUGGAGAGGGCUGCAGACAGGAGGUUUCUCUCCUCUGUUGCACCAUUUCAACACUUCGGAUCCUUCUCGUUUUUUGCGGUAACACGUUUUGUAUAUUUUCUAAUGAGCUGUUGUGAACCAACUUAACACCAAAAUUACCUUUGUUUUGACUUUUUACAUUUUUAUUUUUAGGGGCAAGUGGCCAAUUUAGGAAGUGCACUCUUUAUUUCGCGAAUGAGAAUCUGCCAGGUAUAGAAAAUGGUGACCGAUUAUGUUUCCAAAGUCAAAGGGUUCAAAUUUGUCGGAAUACAUCUUGUCCGGACCUAUCUUGUGAUAGUCCACAGCCACCCUCAACAUUCAGUAACUGCCGGUUUUGCCCAGGUAUGGAUAUGAAGCGAGAUUACCAUUUUUCUGCUCCAAGUUCUAGAGAUGACAUUUCUCCAAUAAACCUAUCUGGCAGUGACGCAUAUAUGUAUGUGUCUGUGCGUCAGAAUUUCUUCCAAGAGUGUCAGUGUAUUGACAGAUGGUGCUAGUACCUGUGUUCAAGAAACACUAAGGACAAUGUCAUAUCUUUUUCUCGGUUUAUAUUACAUAAUACUUUAUGUACAUCUAUUAAUGUGGUGUGGCGUAUCGUUUUCUUUUCGUUGUGUUAUAAACGGUCGGGACUGGAAUGAGGCGAGUAUAUGUGCUGUAACUAAUUAUUUCAA